rnacentral:rRNA from 1 species
GACGAACGCUGGCGGCGUGCUUAACACAUGCAAGUCGAACGGAAAGGCCCUGCUUUUGUGGGGUGCUCGAGUGGCGAACGGGUGAGUAACACGUGAGUAACCUGCCCUUGACUUUGGGAUAACUUCAGGAAACUGGGGCUAAUACCGGAUAGGAGCUCCUGCUGCAUGGUGGGGGUUGGAAAGUUUCGGCGGUUGGGGAUGGACUCGCGGCUUAUCAGCUUGUUGGUGGGGUAGUGGCUUACCAAGGCUUUGACGGGUAGCCGGCCUGAGAGGGUGACCGGCCACAUUGGGACUGAGAUACGGUCCAGACUCCUACGGGAGGCAGCAGUGGGGAAUAUUGCACAAUGGGCGGAAGCCUGAUGCAGCAACGCCGCGUGCGGGAUGACGGCCUUCGGGUCGUAAACCGCUUUCGCCUGUGACGAAGCGUGAGUGACGGUAAUGGGUAAAGAAGCACCGGCUAACUACGUG